UUUCUGUAUUUGGUUUCAAUUUCGUUUUUUUUUUUUUUGUCGUUGUUGUGUUUUUUUUUUUAAUAUUCAUACACAGCAUUUUAGAUGUUGGGCUAAUGAAUGCGUAAUCAGGUUUUGGAGUUGAAAUGAAGAAAGGAGAGAAGUCGGGUUGGCGAGAACUAAACAAAUUAAAGAGGAAGAUGCAGUUAUUAAACUUUCUUGACCUGCUGACCUGCUGGAUUCAAUUAAGCAAACACACACACUGUCAUCUGCAAGUCAUUUAAAAUCCAUUACCUCUCCACAUUUGUGUGUGCACAGAACAAACACGUCCUUUCCCGACUAGUCCUUUUAUUCACUUACGGAUUCGCUUACUGAUUACAUUUGAUAUAUAUUUAUUUAUUUAGUUAAUUGCUUAUCAUUCACUCACUUGCUCACUCACGCCCUCUCUUCGCCACCCUCGUUCGAGCCUUCAUUCGUGUCGAUUGCAGCAAUUUGCCACACUGCUUCAUGCUAUUGAUUCUUCCAGAGUGUCUCCUACACUACUACAAGGCAAAGUCAGUAGGAUACUCAUCACCAAGGAGCACAGAGGAGGAUCAGUUACAGCCGGAAGACUGUUGACUUUUUGACCAGCCGUAUUUUCAUAAUUGCUGCUGCCAUCAAGCAGUUCCUGACUGCACAUCUGCUAUCUCUGAGGACGCCUUUCCCACUUCCUGCUCAUGGUGGAUGCAACAGUACGUUUGGUCCAGUAAGUUUGAUAUUUUUUAAAUAUUCUAAACAAACAAUAUUUAAGUCUCUGCGGUCACACCUUUAACAUGUUAACAAAGUCUUCCCCUUGUGAUCGUUUCCGU
ensembl:lncRNA